rnacentral:rRNA from 1 species
UUGUACCUACGGGACGCAGCAGUGGGGAAUAUUGCACAAUGGGGGAAACCCUGAUGCAGCGACGCCGCGUGAAGGACGAAGUAUUUCGGUACGUAAACUUCUAUCAGCAGGGAAGAAAAUGACGGUACCUGACUAAGAAGCCCCGGCUAACUACGUGCCAGCAGCCGCGGUAAUACGUAGGGGGCAAGCGUUAUCCGGAUUUACUGGGUGUAAAGGGAGCGUAGACGGCGAUGCAAGUCUGAUGUGAAAGCCCGGGGCUCAACCCCGGGACUGCAUUGGAAACUGUG